UGUGUAGGCGGUUCUUUAAGUUUGGUGUGAAAUCUCCCGGCUCAACCGGGAGGGUGCGCCGAAUACUGAGGGACUAGAGUGCGGGAGAGGAAAGUGGAAUUCCUGGUGUAGCGGUGAAAUGCGUAGAUAUCAGGAGGAACACCGGUGGUGUAGACGGCUUUCUGGACCGUAACUGACGCUGAAACACGAAAGCGUGGGUAGCAAACA
rnacentral:rRNA from 1 species